UACGUAGGGUGCGAGCGUUGUCCGGAAUUAUUGGGCGUAAAGAGCUCGUAGGCGGUCUGUCGCGUCGAAUGUGAAAACCCGGGGCUCAACUCCGGGCUUGCAUUCAAUACGGGCAGGCUAGAGUUCGGUAGGGGAGUCUGGAAUUCCUGGCGUAGCGGUGAAAUGCGCAGAUAUCAGGAGGAACACCGGUGGCGAAGGCGGGACUCUGGGCCGAUACUGACGCUGAGGAGCGAAAGCGUGGGGAGCGAACAGG
rnacentral:rRNA from 1 species